GGUUCCAUAGCUCAGUUGGUUAGAGCGCCAGUCUAGUAAACUGGAAGUCAAGGGUCCGAAUCCCUUUGAAGCCU
rfam:Octopus bimaculoides Scaffold68766_contig_5, whole genome shotgun sequence.